rnacentral:misc_RNA from 1 species
GGGAGAAUCAAGCUGCAACGAACACGAUCCAGAAGGAAUAAUUGAAGAAAUCAGAGAAGUCCAGUGAGGAAGAAGGAGAGUAAUAAUCGGAUCGAGAAGGAAUCACCGGAGCAAGAAAUCGGAAAGCGAUGGAUCAUGGAGGCGGCGGGAGGCGGCGUAGGGUAUGAACUGAGGUAGGAGAGAGAGAGAGGGCGGGGAAGAAGGUAGAAGAAAGAACGGACGACGGAGAUCGACGGGAGGAAGCAUCGAUGACGACGACGACGGCGAGAAUUGGAGAAUUUUUGUGGAGUGGGGGAUUGGAUCAGACCUAGAAGCUAAAACUCGAAGACUUAACUAAUAUGCG